rnacentral:miRNA from 1 species
CACGGUUGUGAUCCAAAACUCU